GACGAACGCUGGCGGCGUGCUUAACACAUGCAAGUCGAGCGGUAAGGCCCCUUCGGGGGUACACGAGCGGCGAACGGGUGAGUAACACGUGGGUGACCUGCCCUCAGCUCUGGGAUAAGCCUGGGAAACUGGGUCUAAUACCGGAUAUGACUCCAUGACGCAUGUCGUGGGGUGGAAAGCCUUGUGCGGCUGGGGAUGGGCCCGCGGCCUAUCAGCUUGUUGGUGGGGUGAUGGCCUACCAAGGCGACGACGGGUAGCCGGCCUGAGAGGGCGACCGGCCACACUGGGACUGAGACACGGCCCAGACUCCUACGGGAGGCAGCAGUGGGGAAUAUUGCGCAAUGGGCGGAAGCCUGAUGCAGCGACGCCGCGUGGGGAUGACGGCCU
rnacentral:rRNA from 1 species